UGGAGCAAUAUGUCUGGUUAACUCAGUUAACGAACGAGACCACAGCCUACUAAAUAGUACGUGUUAUGGUAACAUAGUAUGAGACUUCUUAGAGGGACAUUUCGGGUUUACCGAAAGGAAGUUUGUGGCAAUAACAGGUCUGUGAUGCCCUUAGAUGUUCUGGGCCGCACGCGCGCUACACUGACGACUUCAACAAGUUUUUUUCUUUGAAAAAGUCCUUGGCUGGAAAGUCUGGGUAAUCUUUUAAUGUUCGUCGUGAUGGGGCUAGAUUUUUGCAAUUAUUAAUCUCCAACGAGGAACC
rnacentral:rRNA from 1 species